GUUAGUGAUAUUUAUGAGAUAAAUCAUUAUAGAAAAGAAAAAAGAAAUCCAACAUAGCAUAAGUAUUUCAAAGAACAGAUAUGCAUCUUUAAAUAAAUAAAUGGGUUAGAACAGAAUUGCUAUCAUGUAACAUAAAGGGUUCAUUUAACUGCAUAUUGCAUGUCUAUUAUGAAGUUUCUUGGAAUGUAGGUCCAAAUCUGAAGCUGACUUGAGAAAAAGUUAACAUUUGAUUUAUGAAUAGAAUUUAUUUUCUUAUAUUUUUAGGAUGAGAGCAAGUGAUGAGACCCAAGACAGGCUAGAGAAAAAAAAAAAAAAAGAAAAAAAAAAAACACUUCAGAAUGUAAAUUCAGUAGCACAACCUAGAGUCCAACAAUGUCCUCAUGCUGCUGCACUGAGAAGACUGGGAAAAAAAAAUAGGAGAGGUUAAAAAUUCAAGAGUAAAAUCUCAAUUUUAAUUUCAAAACAUGAAGCUUUCUUUUGAAUAUUUACUUCAUAGUAGAGAAAUAUUUUGUCAUUUAAUAUCACAUAUAGCAAUUAAUUACUAUGGUUUGCACUUUUUUUUUUUUUAAUCUGCCAUUCAUUGCAGCUUCUGCAACUGUCCUCAAUAAUUUCCUCUGCAAACACGGAAAGUUUGAAGAAGAGUAAUAACUUGAGAGCUAUUGAGUGUUUAAAAGGAAUGACACAGUAGCUAGUCUAACUUAAUUUGCAAAUCUGAACUGGUUUUACAGGUCAUACCUCCCAGAUAAAAAAUACUAAGGAGAGAAUGGAGUUUGAAAUCCACUGCCAGGAUGGGACCUUGCAGUUAAUGCACCAGCUGCCAGCACUUGUCAAAGUUGACAUGAAGACAGCUGAAGAACAAGAAGACCCUUGGAGAUCCUUCCCAGACACGGCUUCCCAUGUUUGUACAUGAUCAAAGUUAUGCCUUGCUGUCCUGGUCCAUGGAUAAGAGACACUUUCGAAGUAAAUCACAGAUUUCUUCCAGCCUUAGUCAUUCCCAUCAUCUGUGGGUCAGUUGGACAUGUCCAGACAUUCAUUCUAGCAAUGAAUCAACACAUGAAGAGGUCUUGCAAUCUGGUGUGCAAGUGCAGGUGAAAAGUACUGCAUAUAACUCCUCGUGAUUUAGACAAAUGUUUAGACUGAUAUGAAACAAAUUUUUUUAUUUAUGUUUUGGACAUUUUUUUAAAUCCCUUUAAAAUGAGGAAAUUAUGAUGCAAAGUUUGAAAUGCAUUUCACUUGGAUUUAAUAAAUGAUUUUCUUUCUACUUUUAAAGAUAUUUA
rnacentral:lncRNA from 1 species